ACUGCAGCCUUGAACUCCUGAGCUCAAGCAAUCCUUCGGCCUCAGCCUCCCAGGCUUUGGCGUCUCCAAGUACCUGACCUCAGCUCAACCUGUCUUGGGUUUUCUUCUCCUCCCUGACAUUGACAACCCAGCCCUCCUAGGCACAGAGAGAUGGAGCUGAGUGUGGUUUUCCUGAAAUAAAGCUUGCAUUAUGAGAGGGAAUAAACAGUCGAACCCAAUUCACACCAGGAACAAGGUGGCCUAGUUGAUACAGUCCAUAAGGCCAGCCUCUGGGGCCACAGAACAAGAAGGUGGAGAAGAAUGAGGGGUGGAUUGUGGAGCAGAAGGAGAACAUCCAGUGAAGUCACUAGGUGAACCUGCACAGUUUGCUGAUGUUACACAGUGCCUCAGCUCAGAAUGGAUUUGGGAUCAGGCAUUAUUGAGUCUUCUUGGAAUCUGCUAGUUGGAAGGGUCCUCAGAUGUACUUCCGUUUUUAACUUAGCCAUUUCAAGCUCCUACUCAGCGAAGACUCCCCCUCCAGGUGGGGGACACUGUUGGUAGCCCACUCAGCAUUUCUCCUUCUUCCUGUAACAGAGGCCUGACUUUUUCCAACCCUCCACCCUCCACUAAGCGGCCAAGUAUCAGAGGGAAAGCUUAUCCUGGGCUGAAAUAAUUUAAGGAUAAUAUGUUCCCUUUUGUCAAGAAUUGGUUUAGAAAUGGAAAUGUGACCAAGUUGUGGCUGCAGAGCCUCGGGGAGAGAUUUGCUUGUGAUUUCCAAGGAAGUCCUUCCUCCCUCCUUAGAGAGAAAGUCCAGUUGUUAUUGGCAGCCACUUUACACCUAGGAGGACAGCCAACUUCAAGAUGAAGAUGUCAGUAUAGAUUGUGGGCUGGGAUUUGAAAAUCUGAGCUGUUGCUAACAUCACUGAGGGUAACCUAAAGUCUGCUUUAUCUCUGAAAUUCUCUUUUUAUGAAUAAGUAUAUUUCCUUUUUGAAAAGA
ensembl:lncRNA novel transcript, antisense to C7orf33 and CNTNAP2